rnacentral:rRNA from 1 species
GAUUAACGCUAGCGGCAGGCCUAAUACAUGCAAGUCGAACGGCAGCGGGUGUAGCAAUACAUGCCGGCGGGUGGCGCACGGGUGCGUAACGCGUAUGCAAUCUACCUGUAACUGGGGAAUAGCCUUCCGAAAGGAAGAUUAAUACCGCAUAAUAUCACGAAGUGGCAUCACUUUGUGAUCAAAACUCCGGUGGUUACAGAUGAGCAUGCGUGACAUUAGCUAGUUGGUGAGGUAACGGCUCACCAAGGCGACGAUGUCUAGGGGGUCUGAGAGGAUGACUCCCCACACUGGUACUGAGACACGGACCAGACUCCGUACGGGGAGGCAGCAGUAAGGAAUAUUGGACAAUGGCCGCAAGGCUGA